GCACCUGGUUUAUGGUCUGACCUAGCGCUGCCCAAGUCAGCUGGGAUUACUUCCAUCAACUUGGAUCUAAUCUUUAGAAAGGCAGCCUAGCUGUGUCAGGAGCAGAACCACAACAUGCACCUGGAAAAUAUUAAAGAACUAAUAAAUUGCAGUUAAAGAUCUGUAAAUCAAGAUUGAAUAGGCUGAGUGGUUAGCCCUGGAAGGACAAAAAAAAGCACUACCACAAAACUCCAGGCUAAGAAAAAACGUGCUUGGUUGGAAUGAGCUUCCUAAUAGAUCUGUGCAACUAUGAAACUCCUUCCUGCACCCGAUCUUCCACGUUCAACAAAAUUACCUGAAAUGGGGUGUUUCCAUUUAACAGUUAACACAUACCAAAGGAAAUGCACUAACUUAAGGAAAACCAGACUAGGCAGAAGAAAUAUGCAUGUAAGACACUCUCAGCCCACUGGAGCACAAGGGAACUUCAGCACUCUGUACCCUGAGCAAAUCAUAUCAAUCAGAAUCAUCAGUGUUUGAAUACAGCAGUAACAAGCUACUGGUAUCAGCAGCUGAUCUACACUCACGAAGAGAACUUGCAAAGUGUACUAUCAGCAGUGGCAGGACUUACCCUUUAUUUCUGUGUUGCAACAAAACUCAAGAGCACGAGCAUCUCCAGACUCCCAGGGUAGAUACCAUCUUCCCAUUUCUUUUUUUGAUCCUCAUAAUUCUACAUCAACACUUCAAAUCCCCUCUGUGAUUAUUUAUCCUGCUGUUCCUUUUCAGAUUAAGUAACUGGAUGUAGAACUGUCCUCCAAAUAGAAACACCACGUUCUGCAGAAUUUUCAGUCUCCACAAUAAGCCUCUAAAGGAGAUGAUCUUGCAAAAAAGAUGACAACAAAACCAACUAGUGUGCAGAAAUAGAAUGGCUGGAGAAGCUGUAGAACUGAAAAUAUUGAGAAUUAAAUUGAAGCAGCUGUAUAUAUUCCCUGUCCAAGCUCAUUGCUCCAUCAUGUAACUGUAUCUUGUUAAUCUGCUGAAGGAUCACAUCAGACAUAUCCUAAGACACUUUUUUUCCAGUGCAAAUGUUUCUCUUGUUAAAUAUUUGCUGGUCCAGGAAGAGGAGGAUAACCAAAGCCUGUCCAAGUACAGGAAGACCAUACACAAACUAGAUGACAGAUAAAAGGGGAGGGAUGGCCAAAUCAGCUCCCCAGGAAUUCUCAGCAAGCAAAGGGCUCGCUUCUGAGGAGAUACCCAAGUGCCAUAAUCCUCUUCCUCCAUGUCAGUGGCUCAGAAACAGGCAGUGAAGUUGGAGCUCGUGUUUGAAGCCACCUGCCACAAAUUCAUUAGAGCAGAAAAGGGUGUGGAACCAAGAUGAGGAAAACAGGUGUGUUCUCAACAUAGGUACUCCACAAACCUGUUAUGCAUGGAGAUAAAUUCUGAAAAAGCAAAUGGUUGGUACAGGGAUGUUUUCAAUAAUGGUAAAACAGAAAGAGCUAAUGAGCAGCAUCCUACUGCUUCCAGAAGGGAUGACCAGUAAGAGAAUCUUCUCAAGGGCACCAGAAGUGGACAGGAAGAAUCUCUCUUAAGGAAAAGCCUAUCUCAUAUGGGGGGCGUGGUACAUAGCAAAAUUGCACUAGCAGGCUUGAGAUCAUCACAACAUGCAGAUCUAAGAACUAACUGUAUAUCUGAGAAACUGAAAAUACAGUUCCCAAGUAUACCUUGAAUGACAGAAGGCACCAUCAGUACUUGGGAAAUACCUGCACUAUCAGGUUUGGGACUUUAAGAUAGAAGGUGGGAUCUGGCCUAUCUCUUGCAAAUAAUU
ensembl:lncRNA